rnacentral:tRNA from 1 species
GGGCGGUUAGCUCAGGUGGUUUAGAGUAUCUGCAUGACACGCAGGGGGUCACUGGUUCGAAUCCAGUACCGCCCA